rnacentral:tRNA from 1 species
GGGCUGGGGCUCAGUGGCAGAGUGCUCGCCUAGCAUGUGUGAGGCACUGGGUUCGAUCCUCAGCAUUACA